UCUGUCAAACAUGUAACUCGUACUACCAAAAAGCUAUAAUUUACACGUAAACUUAUUUCGUUUUUUAAAACUACGAUUUGAAAUAACUCAUACUACCAAUUUUAGUUUAUGAUAGUUUCCGCUAGAGGCGCUGCUUGUAAAUGUAUGGAAGAAAACUGAAACUAUAAACGUUGUGUCAACUAUCAACAACCUAUACUAGACGUACAGAGCGUCUAGUACGGGCUUGCAAUAUAUGUCAACGUUGAUAGAAAUCGUAAGCACGCCAAACUAUUAGUUUCCAAGUUAAUUGGUAGUAUGAGUUACAUUUUUUUAUUAUAGUUCAUGCGAUAUCGUUUAUGCUACAACUCGAUUGUGCGAACUUCACUCUAGAUACUUUACCUCUUUCUAGCGCUUGUAAAAAGAAAGGGCAAACACACAUGUCAUUUUGGCGUCUUGAUUUUCGUAUAUUAUAUGUCAAUGACUCUAACCAAAAUAUAUAUGUCAAUCAAUGUCAAUGACUCUAACAAAAACAAACUGAAAUUUGGUUUACAAGCUUUUAUUUAUAAAAAUUAUAGAAUUAAGAAUGAUCCUCACAAGUGCAUCGCAAUUCGAAGUACCUAAUUGUAGAUUUUAUGGAAAGGAAUGGGGACCUAAACAAGCCUGCCUAUGGACCCCACGGCAGGUUAACUGCCAUAAAUAAAUGUCCGUACAUGGUGUAGAAUCUCCUACGACCUAUUCUGCACAUGUGGGGAGCCCAAGACGCUCUGUCGUUGGACGAAGCCCAAGAUGCCCUGUCGUCGGAAGAAGCCCAAUACUUGUUGCCCCACUGAGACCAAGGCAGAGUCCUAGGACAACCCGUCGACGCGUGAUUCGUCCGAGGCAGUCAACGCCGCGACGCUAUCGUCCUCUCGUGGGGAUUUAGGCCAUUUAUGUAAUGGAUAACUAUAUAAGUAAUAAAUGAUUAUUUUUAAA